UAAUAAACAAUUACAGAGUCAUAGGGCGUAUCAGCAAGUGAACUAUUCAGGAACAACCACUUGAAGCACGAGAGCAGCAUUCCAUAGCGCUGGGUUCGGAGCCGCAGCCUCCUGGCCGCACCUUGGUCUGCACUGACAGAGUCAGAAGCUUUGUUUGCUGCUGCCCUUUGCCUGGAAGAAGUCUCUCCUUAGCGACAGAUGACCUCACGUUACGUCUGCACAAGAAGACAAGGUGUCCUGUCUCACUGACGAAGGGUGCUUCCUAGCAUCUGUGCUUCUGAGGUUUUGAGCAUGAAUAGGGGAGUUGUAGACUGAUGGAUCACCCGCGGUUACCUCCUACCAUUGCCUUUAAAUAUCUGGCAAUUCCAUGCCUCAAGUUAAAGUACUAAAUACGUAACUAAAAAAGUGUAUGUGAGAGAUGUACAGCAGCGCACACGAUACUGUUCCAGUCCACAACUUAUGUUUAACUCGCAUUUCUGUAACUUGAC